GUGCUGCCACAGUCGUGCUGAUAAAUAGAUAUACUCAAAAACAUCAAUAAUACGAAGGAUACAUAGAAAAAAAAUCCAGCUCAAUAGGUGCCUAGUGACUUACGUCCCAAAAUGUAUUUAAUGCUUAAGUUGCGUUCAAAUGAAAAAGGUCAAAAACAGGUCAUAUAGCUGCAUAGAUAUACGAAAAUAUGUUAUAUCCAUCUUCUUGAAGAACUGUAUGCUACAAUUAUACAAAGAAAUAUAGAAAAAUUUUGGUUAUAUAUAAAUAUUAUUAUAAAAAAUAUUUAAAACAUAUGAAUCUGAAUCAUAUUAUAUUAUAAACAAAAACCUGUAAUUGUAUUUUCUUCCUAUUAUAGUUAUCGAUAUGAAAUAUGUUUGUUAUAUAAUGUAAUACGUUAAUAAUAAUAUAAACAUUAUAUUAUUAUGUUUAUUAUAAAUAAUAAAUUGUAAUAUGUUAGUAUUGUACUGAACUUGCUGCGCUCACCACAAGCUAUGCUUGUGGGGCAGCGUCAUUAAUUAUUUUAUUUUUAAUUUUGUUAUCUUUAUGUAAAAUAUUAUUGUUAUUAUACUUUACCUUAAGAUUGCAGA